GACCACAGUGAAAACAUCACCAGCAACUGUUGGAAUGUACAAAUGUUGCGACAGCGAAAACAAAUCACUGAACUACAAAAGUUAAAAUGACAGCACAGAAGGACUUUCCUUCAUCUCUAAAGCAAAGCUGGAACCAUGAAACUCCUUGAGCC